GCAGAAAGGCACAAUGACUCGAAUAUUGUCCAAAUGUUCUAAAUGUUUGGUCCCAAGUGCAGCCAGCUCAGGUUGAGGUUCUGAUUUUAAAUCUUCAAACCUGCAACACAAGGACAGUUACCACCCAUGAAAAAUGAUAGAAGUCUACUACAAAUCAAUAACUUGUCCGAAACAUACAUGAGCUUCUUGUCUCGGUGAAUCAACAAUUCGGAACCAUGUUAACCAUGACAUGAACUCAACAAAACAAGAGCAAACCAUGACCUACACUUAUUCCAAUACAAUGAAACCAAAGUCAAAAUGAGGUGCAAUAUAAACCAAAGAAACAUGAAUUGUCAAGCACACCAAGUCAGAAAUGCAUAGGUGGACCAAUACCAUUUGAAUUCAUGUGUACAUGAGCAAUAUGAUAUUCAUGAUGUAGAUGCUAUAAUGCAUAAGCCAAAACACAUGAACAAUGCACAUAAGUUCAGACCUGCAGGAAUUGCAUGAAACACUCCAAGGCAUCCAACAUGUUGCAUCACCAACACAACCAUGCCAAUGAAUGUGCACUUGCAGCAUAGCAGGACAUAACAACCGUCAACA
rnacentral:lncRNA from 1 species